AAUCUGCAUGUAAUCCACUGGCCAGGAGCUCAUGCCUACAGCUCUGAAGUGUCCCCUGCUCACAAUUGUGCCUAUCAGUGAACGAAAUCAUUCAGACUACUUAGAAAUGCAAAGCUAAAAUACAGAGAAAACUACACUUUCAAAAAAAAGGUGAACUACCACUAGCACACACUGACACGACCUCUGUCACACUUCUGCUGAGGUCGUAGCAUGGAAAGAGCUCUGGUUUCUAAAGAGAUCAUCUGAUGGGCGCAACCCAAAGGGGAAAAAGUCUAUGCUGGCAGUAUUCAAUGCUUCUCGCUGCCAAAUUUGCCACGUUUGAAACAGGGAGAAGGACCAGCUUUCAGCCAGCCACACUAAUACCUCUCACACAAAUUCUGAGAACCGUGAACCUUCAUGACCCUUUGAAUUUGAGAGGAAUUACUGUGGCCAUCUGCCUGUGUUGCCCCAAGAGAUUUUCUGCAGGGCACAACUUGAUAAUACAAAUUAAAAAGAAAAAAAAACAUAAUAAGCACUACUGUUACCACCAGAACUUCUGCAUGGUAAUGUUCGAGUUCAGCUCAGAAGCUGAAGUCUCCCAACUCUUCCAGCACAUGACAGAAACAAAAACUUGAAUGACCAACAGAUGGCUCAGAAGAGAUUAAAGUGGUGUUAAUAAGCAAAGUACUAUGAAAGGCUGGUAAAUAUAAUAAUGUCACACUCAGUUAAAGACACAACCACUCCUCUAACUCAUGAGGUGAUUUGUCCCAGGGCCUGGCCACAUUAUUACCGCUAGAUGUAAUCCUUCUAGCUAAGUAUUAACAAAUCAAUAAAAUCACUUCCCGCCAUCUGUGACCAAAAGGGAAGAUAGCCUUCGUGUAACAGUCUGGUACUAAAGAAUUUAUCCAUUCUUUACCAAGAAGGUAAAGCAGGCAACUGCUUCAAAACUGAAGAAAGCAGGACUGAAAAAAAUAAGAUGAUGAGAAGAAGGUGAGGUACCACCAUAUGUUUAGUAUCAGAAACAACUAAAACAUUACAUGAUUGGAAUGUUAAUACUAGACACCAUGAUCAUGUUGUUACAGCUAUUUAUAGGUAGUCCACAAUCAAUCCUUCAGAUAAUUUGGGUGGGCCUGCAUAUGCCAAGUAAAAGAUGUAGCUCAAGUAACUGCAAGUAUUAAUUCAUUAGAGCAGUGACCUUAGUAUUCAAGAGUUGCAGAUUUAAGCCCAAACUAAACAAAAUAUAAAAGGUCUAAGACCAUAAGGUCCAAGUGUCUCUAAGAUAAUUUGAUGAAGAAAAUAUGACAUGAGGUUAAGUUACCUACUCACCUUUCUGCUUAUUAUUUACUGACAGUCAUUUAUAUCUGUUCUGUAUUUGUGUUACUUGCUUUAUACUGGGUCAAGCAUGUGCAUUCUUACUGCUCUAUGUAAAAUACAAAAUUAAUACAAAGACCAUAAGAUUUUACAUAUAGCUUCUUAUAACUUUUAUAUACAGUUUCUUAUAACUUAAAGGGAAUGCUGAAAGCUCUGGUAGAAUAAGGAUGAAGAAAAAUGAUGGAAGUUGGAGUGUGGACUGGUGCUAAGCCAAUACUGUGACUCAAAUUGUGUUGCUAAAAAACACAUAAUCACAGAAUCAUUCAGGUUGGAAGGCACCCCUGGAGGACAUCUGGUCCAGCCUCCCUGGUCAAGCAGGGUCAGCUACAGCAGGCUGCUCAGGACUGCAUCCAGAUGGCUUUGAGUCUCUCCAAAGGAUGGGGACUCCACAGCCUGGCAACCUAUGCCAGUGCUCAGUCACCUGCACAAUAGAGAAGGGUUUUCUCAUGUUCAGAAAAGACCCCUCAUAUUUCAGGUUCUGCCCAUUGCCUCUUGCUCUAUCACUAGGCACCACUGAAAAGAGCCUGACUCAGUCUUGCUUACACCCUCCCAUCAGAUAUUUAUUCACACCUAUAAGAUCUGUCUGAGGCUUCUCUUCUCUAGGCUAACUAGUUCCAUCUUUCAGCCUUUCCUCAUAUGACAUGCUCCAAUCCCUAAACAAUUUUCAUUGCCCUUUACUUGACCUGCUGUCUAUGCCCAUGACUUUCUUGUGCUGGGAAGCCACAAACUAGAAUUGGCACUCCAGAUGUGGCUUCGUCAGUGCUUAAUAGAUGGGAAGGUUCACCUCUCUCAGGCUUUUUGCAAUGCUUUUCCUAAUGCCUACGAAGUCUUAGGCACAGCAAAUGAUUUUACAUUAUUUUUGUACAAAAACAGUAGAAUUUACUAGAGAGAAAUAAAGAAGAAACCAUAAAAGUAAUUUCAUUUUUGAUAGGGCUACGUGAAAAGACUUAGCUCUUAUUGUCAUCAUUUCCAACCUUUAUUGGUCGUUUUCUGAUUUGCACACAUUUGCUUUGUAAAGAUGAAAUACCUGACACUGUUGGCCAACCAACGGGUGGAAAGCCCAGUCUAGUUCAAUACAUUAUAUCUCAAAGUUAGAAUGAUACAUGAGAGCCUUGAAGAGAAUUUCAUUGCUUGGUUAGUAAGAAUUACCCCUGCUUCGUAACACUGCAAGGUGAUACAUAAGGCCACACAAAAGAAGAAAAAAACCUCUCCUGAUGGCUUCCUGAAAAACCCCAGCACCUCGGGAGACAUUCCCAGAAACUUAUAAAAGGAUUAAGAUGAAGAAAGGAGUGAUAUGGAGAUAACACGGCCUUUCCUACUCGGGAAGUGGACCCUUGGGCCUAUUUCAUCUGUCAAUCACCCCGAAAUUAGCUUAUUGACUACAGCCACUCAAACUGCUUGAAGAAAAAGGUACAAAAAGAGAUGGGACUCAAGGAAAUAUCGGGAAGAAGUUCCAUCAACUCUGCAGAGGUAAACGAUGGGCUGCCUUUUCUCCCUCCAGCUUCUUGGGACGCCGCAGGAAAUGCAAGACCUCUGUUUUCAAUCUGGGCCUUACAUGGUGGAGUAAACAGGAGCGCUUUCACACCACCUCCUGUCGAUGUUGACAUGAAGCAGCUUCAACCACAGCGUCAAACUGAAGGGACACAAUGAUAAUGAAAGAUUGAAGUCACCCUUGAUAACUUGGCAUCCACAAUUUCCAAUUCUAAAUUCUUGGAGCAUUACAAGAAAGUUUGUGUAUAAAUAUCUUUAGAGCAGCUAAACUUCCAAAAUGCUGUCGAUGUAGCAUAGCAACUCUGCAUGGGUAUGUAUUUUAAUUGUCUUAUUUGUUUCUUAGUAGCAAUAACAUUACUAGUUCUUUCAUCUCUCGCUGUCUACUCCAUUGCUUCAAGCAGGUUGAGAAAUAAUCUAACUAAAAAGGAAUUCUAAACCCCUCAGUUAACACGCUUUUCAAUUUAUGAUGCUUGGAAUACUGCCAUUUGAAAAUAAA